GCGGUCAUGGCGGAAUGGCAGACGCGCUAGCUUGAGGGGCUAGUGGGGAAUUUCCCCGUGGAGGUUCAAGUCCUCUUGGCCGCA
rnacentral:tRNA from 1 species